UACGUAGGGGGCGAGCGUUGUUCGGAAUUACUGGGCGUAAAGGGCGCGCAGGCGGUCCUUCAAGUCAGAUGUGAAAGCCCCGGGCUCAACCUGGGAACAGCAUUUGAGACUGGAGGACUUGAGGACGGGAGAGGAGAGUGGAAUUCCCAGUGUAGAGGUGAAAUUCGUAGAUAUUGGGAAGAACACCAAUGGCGAAGGCAGCUCUCUGGACCGUUACUGACGCUGAGGCGCGAAAGCGUGGGGAGCGAACAGG
rnacentral:rRNA from 1 species